rnacentral:rRNA from 1 species
AUUGAACGCUGGCGGCAUGCUUUACACAUGCAAGUCGGACGAGUGGCGAACGGGUGAGUAACGCAUCGGAACGUACCGAGUAAUGGGGGAUAACUGUCCGAAAGGACAGCUAAUACCGCAUAUUAUUCGAGCGGCCGAUGUCUGAUUAGCUGGUUGGCGGGGUAAAGGCCCACAAAGGCGACGAUCAGUAGCGGGUCUGCGAGGAGGAUCCGCCCCCCUGGUACUGAUAAACGGACCCAACUCCUACGUGAGGACGCAGUGGUGAAUUUUGGACAAUGGGCGCAUGCCUGAUCCCGCCAUGCCGCGUGUCUGAAGAAGGCCUUCGGGUUGUAAAGGACUUUUGUCAGGGAGGCGGUACCUGAAGAAUAAGCACCGGCUAACUACGUGCCAGCCGCCGCGGUAAUAC